AUUGAACGCUAGCGGCAUGCUUAACACAUGCAAGUCGAACGGUAGCAGGUCUAGCUUGCUAGAUGCUGACGAGUGGCGGACGGGUGAGUAACGCGUAGGAAUCUACCUUGUAGUGGGGGAUAACUUGGGGAAACCCAAGCUAAUACCGCAUGAGCCCCAAGGGGGAAAGCAGGGGACCGAAAGGCCUUGUGCUAUGAGAUGAGCCUGCGUCGGAUUAGCUAGUUGGUGGGGUAAAGGCCUACCAAGGCGACGAUCCGUAGCUGGUCUGAGAGGACGACCAGCCACACUGGGACUGAGACACGGCCCAGACUCCUACGGGAGGCAGCAGUGGGGAAUAUUGGACAAUGGGCGCAAGCCUGAUCCAGCAAUGCCGCGUGUGUGAAGAAGGCCUGCGGGUUGUAAAGCACUUUCAGUAGGGAGGAAGGCCUCAAUGUUAAUAGUAUUGAGGAUUGACGUUACCUACAGAAGAAGCACCGGCUAACUCUGUG
rnacentral:rRNA from 1 species